rnacentral:rRNA from 1 species
GGGCCCGCACAAGCGGUGGAGUAUGUGGUUUAAUUCGAUGCAACGCGAAGAACCUUACCAGGGUUUGACAUCCUGCGAAUCUCUUGGAAACAGGAGAGUGCCUUCGGGAACGCAGUGACAGGUGGUGCAUGGCUGUCGUCAGCUCGUGUCGUGAGAUGUUGGGUUAAGUCCCGCAACGAGCGCAACCCACGUCUUUAGUUGCCAGCAUUUAGUUGGGCACUCUAGAGAGACUGCCGGUGAUAAACCGGAGGAAGGUGUGGAUGACGUCAAGUCAUCAUGCCCCUUACAUCCUGGGCUACACACGUACUACAAUGGGCAGUACAAAGGGCAGCAAACUCGCGAGGGUAAG